UCCCCUGUGGCGCAAUUGAUUAGAGCGCGGUACUUAUAAUGCCGAGGCCGGGAGUUCGAUCCUCACCUGGGGAA
rnacentral:tRNA from 1 species